rnacentral:rRNA from 1 species
UACGAAGGGGGCUAGCGUUGUUCGGAAUCACUGGGCGUAAAGCGCACGCAGGCGGGUCGGUAAGUCAGGGGUGAAAUCCCGAGGCUCAACCUCGGAACUGCCUUUGAUACUGGCGACCUUUGAGUCCGGGAGAGGUGAGUGGAACUCCGAGUGUAGAGGUGAAAUUCGUAGAUAUUCGCAAGAACACCAGUGGCGAAGGCGGCUCACUGGCCCGAUACUGACGCUGAUGCACGAAAGCGUGGGGAGCAAACAGG